rnacentral:rRNA from 1 species
GACGAACGCUGGCGGCGUGCUUAACACAUGCAAGUCGAACGGAAAGGCCCUGCUUUUGUGGGGUGCUCGAGUGGCGAACGGGUGAGUAACACGUGAGUAACCCGCCCUUGACGUUGGGAUAACUUCAGGAAACUGGGGCUAAUACCGGAUAGGAGCUCCUGCUGCAUGGUGGGGGUUGGAAAGUUUCGGCGGUUGGGGAUGGACUCGCGGCUUAUCAGCUUGUGGGUGGGGUAGUGGCUUACCAAGGCUUUGACGGGUAGCCGGCCUGGGAGGGUGAACGGCCUCAUUGGGACUUAGAUACGGCCCAGACUCCUACGGGAGGCAGCAGUGGGGAAUAUUGCACAGUGGGCGGAAGACUGAUGCAGCAACGCCGGGUGCGGGAUGCCGGCCUUCGGGUUGUAAACCGCUUUCGCCUGUGACGAAGCGUGAGUGACGGUAAUGGGUAAAGAAGCACCGGCUAACUACGUG